CCACUUAUUGCCACCUGGCAUCCAAUCCUUUCUUCUUGAAACAAUAUGAGCGCCAAAACCACACAAUGACUCCGUUCUUUUUACUUCUCACAUUCUAAACCCUAAUAAUCUUCACAGCCAUUCUUCCUCUCCUCUUCACGCCGCUGCUGCUGCUUCUUUUUCUACAUUCCUUUUUUCCCAGUUUCUUUCAUCUGUCUCGCAUCCAAAACCCUAAAUCUCAUCCAGGCCCAUACUUGAUCGUCGUUUCAUCUUCUUAGGUAAGGGUUUCUCCUUCUUCUUGAAUUAUUGUUUCAUCUCUUCAGCUUGAAACUUCACAAUAGUUAGCUGCUGAAUUCUAAAGGAAGACGAAGACGACUAUAAUAAAUAUGUUUAGAUGUUUGCUCUGGUGGCUAUCUAGGGUUUCAGUGUCGGCCGACGACUGUGAUACGCGUAGGCGAUUGAUCAGACCCAUGGCUCAAGAACAAGCCCAGGCGCGAUCCAGGGCCAUGAACAAGAUCGCUCUAGCAUCACUAUCAGCAAUGGUGGCAGAGACCACCACUUUCCCCAUCGACAUCACCAAAACCAGGCUUCAAUUGCAUGCAGCCGCUCACCCAGUCUCCGCAUUUCAGGUCGCCACUGACAUCCUUCGCAAACAAGGCGUAACAGGACUCUACAAGGGCCUGUCACCUGCCCUUCUUAGACACCUUUUCUACACACCCAUUCGAACCGUUGGUUACGAGCAAUUGCGUCAUGCUUUCAUUUCUCAUGAUAAUCAUUCUCUUUCUCUACCGAGCAAGGCCCUCAUUGGAGGGAUUUCUGGCGUUAUUGCUCAGCAUGAUGUAUGCUAUGGAUGGUUGUUCUUGAGGUUUUCCCAAUGCUUUCAAGCUACCAAAUUUUAUGAGUGAUCAUGAUUUUCUAGUUCUGUAUUUAGAAAGAUGCCUUUUUUAGAAACUGAUGUGGAGCAAACUGAACUGGCCUAGACGGUUAUGGAACACUAGGGUGAAGUGUCAUUUGUGGGAGCUUGACUGUGGCUUACAAAGUGAUGAUCAAGACACGUGGGUGACGAGGCGCUCCUAAGCCCCCAUUUAAUCCGAGUAUUAGUUGCUAAGGGAUAAGGGAAAGACAAAAGCAAGCGUUAGCCGUAUUCGUGAGAUACAUGGUAAAUUGUAUCCAUUUAUAUUAUUAUUUUAUUGUUUUUCUGACUUGCAAUAAUCACUUUGAAAAAUAGAGGUGUUGGUUUGCAAAAAUCUCACAGUCACAGGUGAUUGUUGUUGAUAGAAUAGGUGAUCCCAAACUUAACAAUAUGUAAUGCACUCAAAUAAUUUGAAUAUAAUGUCUCAUGACAAUAUCUAAUACAAAUUGUUUGUUAUAUUUGCAAGGAUAUGGUAUCAAAUAUUGUAGAGAACAAGAGCAAUAAACUGGUUGGAUUGCAAUUAAGAACCACUAUGAUAUAAAUUUGAUAACGAGAUGGAAUGGGAAUGGAUAUGGACAUCUAAACCCAACCCUUAAACCUUUUAAGUGGGUUUGGAGAUACCUGGGGAUUUUAUUGGUCUCAACUCCAUAUCUUCAAACCCAUACCAACAUGAAUGAUCUAUUUCUAUACAAAUUUCUCUUAUCUAAUUUAUAAUUAAGUGAUCUCAUUGAUGCACAAUUAAAUUUUCUAAUUACAGUUUUAGAUCGUCUCUUUGCAUAUGUGCGGUGCACAAUAUGUCAAAACAUCCUUUUAUUAUUAACAGUUGCCAUUCUAAUAGCGGGUUUUUACAUUUUAUAAUUUUAAGUUAGAUUUUUUUGUUUUCAAGGUUUUGUUUCAUCAAUAAGUCAUAUUUGAUCGUUUGUUACAGCCAUUUAUGUUAUGAGAUAUACAUGAGCUUCAAUACCAGUAUAUAUUAUAUAUUUGUGUUAAGCCACCCGCGAAACUCGCGGGAUCUUAGGCUAUAAUCCUACCUCUGAAUCUGAAGGAAUCAAGCAACAUCAGGUAUGCUAAUCUAUAAUCCGUUGAUGAUUACAUUGUAAUGUAUGUUAAUUUUCUUAUGGUCCAUAUAAGUUCGUAUUCUAGGGUUUUGAAACAGUCGCACUAAAUCCUCUACAGGUACUGUAAGCAACUGUUGGUAUUUAAUAAGUUAUUUACAUAAGAAUAACAAACAAAUAUGAGAUAUGAUAAUAGGUUGAAGUUGCAAGGCCCAUGGACAAGAAACGGAAAAGGGUUUAUGAAGAUUCGCAAAUCACUCAGUCGCGUGAGAUUUUAAAUAACUACAAGCCUCAAAAUUAUGAGUCAGUCAUGAGUUCUUUCAAUGGCUACCGUGACGACACUGUUCAAAAGUUGCUGAUCCCCAUGAAGCUGCUACCAGUGGCUGUUAGAGAUCGGUUACUUGGAGUUUUACGACUCGGUAUUGCUACUCGAUAUGAUAUCGAAGUUGAAUCCCUAAACCAACUGGGGUAGCCCAGUUGGCCACCGACACCCACCUCUUCCCAGAGGUACCGGGUUCGAGUCUUGGGAGUGGCAUAUGUCGCCCAGGGUAAGAACUCGGCAAGGGGAAGUCACCGCGGAGCUAGCUUGGUCGGGUAGCGGCUCCCGGAGUGAGAUCACUCCGGCGGUUGGGAGGACCGUGCACUAUCCCCCCCCCCCCAAGUUGAAUCCCUAGCUAAUCUUGCGGAACUACCUGAAUCUACAGCCAUAUUAGUUCUUGAUCAGUUUAUGUUAUCGGGAGCAGAAGAAGAGUAUGACAAGGGAGCAUAUCUCACUUCACUAAUUUCAAAGAUAGCAAGAAAAGGUUUGGAUGCGGCUGCACAUGAUCAACAAAGCAUGAAGGGACUGGUAUGUAAACUGUAUAUGUUUACCAUUUUUUUCUUGCAAUUGAUAACGAGUUUAGACAUUUGGAUUGUGAUUUAUCUUGCAACUGGAAAAUUCGAAAUUGGGUUGCUGUGGAGUCAGUUAUUCAGCAUCCGGUCCCACAGGGCCAUGUGAAGCGGAGAGUGUCAUCAGGUGGGAAAUAUGUCUCAGUGAACCUUGGACCUGUUCGAGUCGUUUCUAGGGAACAGGAUUAUUGAUGUGUUAUAUCGUUGUAACCCGACGUUAACUGAAGUCGAAAGGAAGAAAGUUUGUGAGUUAAUUGAUGUGAAAAAGUUGUCAGCAGACGUGUCCAUACACGCUGCACAGAACGAUCGGCUUCUGCUGCGAAUGGUGGUGCAAAUCCUGUUUCACGUGCAGGUUCGAGCCACUGCUGUGAUCAAAGAGGCAGCACGUGGCAACCGGGCGCUGGAACAAGACUGGGAGAUUAAAAUGCCGCUGCGUUCUAAGUAGCUAAGAACACCUUCACGGAUGAGGUUUACGGAUGGGGAUGUGAAGGAGGUGUCGAGUGGUGGUAGCAUGCGGUUGCUGCCAUCGAGUUCACGGAGGUUUUUGGAUAGGUUUUGGGUGGUGGGGAUGGGUCUGCGGCACGGAGAGACCGGGACGUCUGGUAGUUCGCAAUCUAAGUUUUCGAGUUCAUCGUCAAGGAAACAGAGAAACAAUAAUUUUCUGGAUAUGGAGGGUGAUACAUAGAGUCUUCGCAAAAGAGUGGAUAAUCUUAAGAAUUUAUAAAGGGGGUUGAUACUGAUGAUGGCUUUGACUUUAUUAGGAGAACGCUUGAGGAGCACUUUGGGCAAUGCGAAGAGAUUUCAAGCAUGUCUAUUCUUAAAGAUUUUGAAUUUGGUAGUUCUAAAGGGUAGGCUUUUUAUUCUCCUCCGCAAGCGUGCGUUCAUCGCCGGCAUGCACUAAUACAUCAACCACAACAAUUAUUCUGGCGAGAAUAUUGUCUUGUGACUAUAGGUUUGGGAUGUAGCAACUGGUACAAAGGAAUACACUUUUGAAGGUGAUAAUAAUGCUCCCGUUUAUUCCGUAUACCCUCACUUCAAGGAAAACAUUCAGGUAAACUGGUCGGAUGAGUGGAGCGGGGUCAAGCGGAUUGGAAGUCGCCUAAAGUGUGAAACUGUAUAAAAUCAAGUUUAGAGGAAUUUGAAUAAUUUUCUGUUUGUUUCGUCCAAUGUAUGCGUUUGUACAGAAUAUUACAGUUCAAAGUAAAUAAUAUGGUUUUGGUUGAAUCCCGCGUA